AAAUAAUCUCUACUAAAUAUCUAAAAAAAUAAAAUUAUGUGCCUAUUAGAAUUUGAACCAAGUCACCAAAAUCAUUAAAUAACACUCUUAUCACGAAACUACAAGUGUUUAAUCAUAUAAAAAUGUAUCCAAUUUUUUUUUAGUUCUUCGAAAAGAGAUUUAUGAUACAUUUAAAAGAAAAAAUAAUAACUUAAAAGGGGCUGAAGCCCCUCCUAAGCCUUAAUUGAGUCUGCCCAUGUCUUUAGCAAUUACUCAAUAGCUCAAUUGUAAAUACUAAAUACUUCCCAUCUCAUAAGCUGGGUGGAAAUUAUGGUGGUGGUUUUGACAUUUUCUCGAAAUAUUUAGGUGUCAAUAAUGCAUUCCUACAGUGUGUGUUAGAGAUUUCAAAAUAUUUGUAGAUUUCUAUCAAUUAAAAAGUUUUUUCAAAAGGCUACUUAUUCCUUCUUAUUAGUUUCAUAACCUUUAAUGAUAUAUAGUAACUAGAACUUAUUGUAGUAAAUUACUCGGAUUCAAACACAGUUUAUUUUCCAAAAUUAUCAACUCAAAUGCUAGUUUCCAUGGCUUCGAAAAAAGUUAUCCUUAAUAGUAAUCUUAAUCAAGACAUAUCAACAAAAGAUGAUAUUAUUAUUCUACUACAACUACCAAACGAGAGGCCCUCUCCAGCUGCAAACUUCUUGAAAUAGUUGGCAAUAAAUUGGUAAGCUUUUAAUUAGUUUGGCCCCUCCCCAAAAUGGACAAUGAAAUGAUGCAACGCGGCAUUAGGUGCUGCUUGCUGGUGCUCGACAUACAUGAGUUAUGUGGCCGUGAGAAAUUGUGUUCAAUUUGCGACCCAAGAACCUGCAUAUGCAUGCUAGCUGCUGCGAUGGUGAUGUGAGCGACCGUGAAUUGUGAUGGUGUUCGAAUUAAAUUACUCCACCUUCAAGCUGGUCCUACUCGGCCGACGGCUACUCUUGCUUAGAGAUGGCCAAUGGGUUGUACAGUACGGUACGACACGAGCAUAUUUUGGUGGAGCAUGCGGCACGCACGUGGUUCAAGCCGGACUUAUAAUUUUGGGCACGCGGACCUUAAAAGUACGACACGAUUAAAGAUGAAGUCAAGCACGAUACGAUAAAAAAGCCUAUAAUAAGCACAUUUUAUUUUUUAA
rnacentral:lncRNA from 1 species